rnacentral:rRNA from 1 species
GCCCUCCGGAUCGGAGGGUGUGCACCAGCAGGAGUUGGAGUGUUGACCCGCAAGGUCUAGCGGUGGUGUACGGUACCGACACACUAGGGGCGCAGGGCCCCGGGGAAAGGAAGGAGGGGGGCGACGUCCUUCGAAGGAGGUGCGGGGAGUGGAAUGAAGGGGCGGAGGGGCGUGGAAAUACCGGUAGUUCCGGCUCUAGAAGCGGGAGGCCUUUAGACCAUUACCUGCCUAAAAAGUUCCGAACGGCAACGCGGGAGCCGGGAGGGACGGGGAUCUAUUUCGGGGACUCCAUGAUAGUAAGGGGAGCUGGCUAAAGGGGGAGUCCUCGGGGGAAAGGGGGUGGGGUGUCAGACGUUCUUGAGCGGCUUCAUGCGUUUGAGGUCGCCGAAGAGGUGGCUACGGGUUCCGAGCCAACCGGAUGGAGCCGGAGGGGACUUCAAAAACGAUUCAGGAGAAGGAGCAGGGCACGAGCGGAAGGAGGGCCUUUGUAACGUAGUAGUCUAGGCUCAAGCAAGGGCGGUAGAAGAGGUUGAGCCCGCUGAUUGGGACUAAUAUGCCUCACGCUUCGAACGAUGAUGGUCAGCAAUCUCAAACUUCCUUUAGUGGUUCCGUUCAGUGUAAACUAGUGUACAAACCAUUAUAAGUACUAAAAUAACGUAAUCUAAGUUUGUAAGGUGGUACGUAGUUCAUCUAUUAUAACUUGAACAAGAACUCAUCAUAGUACUCCAUACUUUGGGGUGUGGGGAUAAUGGUUACGGGUCCUUUGUUACUUAAAAAAUUCAACGAUGCGAGAUCAUCCGCUCCUAACCAACUCACUAUAUAAACUCAAUGCUCACUAUAUGUUAAAACUAGUUCUGAUGUUGGAGUUCUAAAGUUCUGAAGUUAUAUAGAUACCCACCUUACCAACUUCCCGUGGGACCUCAUGUUCACCUAAACGGAUCACUCGACCUCAUCCGGUCAAUAGUACUACUUUCGAGGUGGAUCCGAUUUUUUCCGCUUACCUAUGACGUUGAUGUUCAGUUAUACCCGAGACCGAACCAACUAGAAUCAACACUGAGACUGGCCUACUAUGCGGGUAAAACGUAGUACAAAAGGAUGACAAUAAAUAUUACAAAAAUAGGUAUUAUUACGAAAAACCUCAUUAAGAUUACGGAAAAGAGAGUAUUAUACGUUCCAUAUGUGUUUCUCCCUCUUAAGGCCGUCGACCUUUAGACCUGAACCUUUUCGAUACAGUCCGGUGGAUAAGACGUGUUGAGGUUUGUUCGACUUUGAAGUACCUCUAAAAAAAUAGUUUAUAUACUACUUAUAACCUCGUUUAUUGAUGGUCUCCCCCCGGUGGUCCGCCCGUGUUGGGUGGACCCGCGCGGUCCCUCGGGUCCGCGCGUGACCACCCAACACGAGUGGGUCCGGGUGGAGGUCACGGAUAGAAGACCAUAUAUUCAGUAAAACUGGAUCUUUUUUAAUCCUCUCCUGAAAACCCUACCUCGUGGUGGCAGAGCUCCACCUUGAACCCGUACUCGUGAAAACGGGAAGCCGCCUCACUAAGGCGGCCCCCUUGAAGGGAGGGCCUCCCCCUUUAGUAGCAGUGUAGUAGUGGUUGUUGAGAGGGUAGAACCCCUCCCGUUAGAGGUAGUUGUAGAAGUUGUUGUGGUAUAGUAGAGUUUGGAUCAAGUAGAGAACACAAGUUAGAACAAUGGCCUUGAUAUCUAACCGCGAACACCCACUGAUCAUCACAACUAAUGUAGAACAUCAACUAAUGAUAUACCAAAUAAACCACCUUCUAAUAUACAAGUCUAUGUUAUACGAUAAAUUAUGGGGAGACUAGAACUCGUACUAAUAGUAAACACUCAUAAGUGAAAACAAGAACUCCAGUGUCCUCUUUAGUACAACGUUCAUUAGUACACUUGAACUAUACACAAACU